rnacentral:miRNA from 1 species
UUAGCAGCAUGGCGCAUUUGCG